rnacentral:rRNA from 1 species
UGGGGAAUUUUGCACAAUGGGGGAAACCCUGAUGCAGCGACGCCGCGUGAUUUAGAAGGCCUUCGGGUUGUAAAAAUCUUUUCUAUGGGAAGAAAAUGACAGUACCAUAGGAAUAAGGACCGGCUAAUUACGUGCCAGCAGCCGCGGUAAUACGUAAGGUCCGAGCGUUGUCCGGAAUCAUUGGGCGUAAAGGGUACGUAGGCGGGUAAGCAAGUUAGAAGUGAAAUCCUAUAGCUCAACUAUAGUAAGCUUUUAAAACUGCUCAUCUUGAGGUAUGGAAGGGAAAGUGGAAUUCCUGGUGUAGCGGUGAAAUGCGCAGAUAUUAGGAGGAAUACCGGUGGAGAAGGCGACUUUCUGGCCAUAACCUGACGCUGAGGUACGAAAGCGUGGGUAGCAAACAGG